GUGGGUAUAGCUCAGUGGUAGAGUACAUGCUUACCAUGAAUGAGAUCCUGGGUUCAAUCCCCAGUACUUCCA
rnacentral:tRNA from 1 species